rnacentral:hammerhead_ribozyme from 1 species
AUCCAACUGACGAAUCCCAAAUGGGACGAAACGCGCGUUUUGGAU